GACGAACGCUGGCGGCGUGCUUAACACAUGCAAGUCGAACGAUGAACUACCAGCUUGCUGGUGGGGAUUAGUGGCGAACGGGUGAGUAACACGUGAGUAACCUGCCCUGGACUCUGGGAUAACCCCGAGAAAUCGGAGCUAAUACCGGAUAGGACCUUUCCCUGCAUGGGGUUUGGUGGAAAGUUUUUCGGUCUGGGAUGGACUCGCGGCCUAUCAGCUUGUUGGUGAGGUAAUGGCUCACCAAGGCGUCGACGGGUAGCCGGCCUGAGAGGGUGACCGGCCACACUGGGACUGAGACACGGCCCAGACUCCUACGGGAGGCAGCAGUGGGGAAUAUUGCACAAUGGGCGCAAGCCUGAUGCAGCAACGCCGCGUGCGGGAUGACGGCCCUCGGGUUGUAAACCGCUUUUAGUAGGGAAGAAGGGCUUCGGCUUGACGGUACCUGCAGAAAAAGGACCGGCUAACUACGUGCCAGCCGCCGCGGUAAGAC
rnacentral:rRNA from 1 species